AAAUAUGAAGCAAUUUUUGCAUUUAGUUUCGACCUAAAAUUUAGACCUUUGUCCUUAUUUU
rnacentral:tRNA from 1 species